rnacentral:tRNA from 10 species
UCGGGAUAGCUCAGUUGGUAGAGCAGAGGACUGAAAAUCCUCGUGUCAC